rnacentral:rRNA from 1 species
GCAAUGCCUGAAGUCCGUGAGCUAACCGUAAGGGGGCAGCGGCCGAGGGCAGGGUUGGCGACUGGGACGAAGUCGUAACAAGGUAGCCGUACCGGAAGGUGCGGCUGGAUCACCUCCUUUCUAGGGA